GCCAGAGGAUACAAAAGUUCAUCGGAAUUACUGGGCGUAAAGCGCGCGCAGGUGGUAUGGUAAGUCAGGUGUGAAAUCCCGGGGCUCAACCUCGGACGUGCACUUGAUACUGCUGGACUCGAGUACUGGAGAGGAGAGUGGAAUUCCCGGUGUAGAGGUGAAAUUCGUAGAUAUCGGGAGGAACACCAGUGGCGAAGGCGACUCUCUGGACAGAUACUGACACUGAGGCGCGAAAGCGUGGGGAGCAAACAGG
rnacentral:rRNA from 1 species